GCCCCAGUGGCCCAGUGGUAACUGUCCCGCCUGCUGUGUGGGAGACCCGCGUUCGAAUCCCGCCAUCAGCA